UACGUAGAGUGCGAGCGUUGUCCGGAAUUAUUGGGCGUAAAGAGCUUGUAGGCGGUUUGUCGCGUCUGCUGUGAAAAUCCGGGGCUCAACCCCGGACUUGCAGUGGGUACGGGCAGACUAGAGUGUGGUAGGGGAGACUGGAAUUCCUGGUGUAGCGGUGAAAUGCGCAGAUAUCAGGAGGAACACCGAUGGCGAAGGCAGGUCUCUGGGCCACUACUGACGCUG
rnacentral:rRNA from 1 species